rnacentral:rRNA from 1 species
AGAGUGAACGCUGGCGGUAGGCCUAACACAUGCAAGUCGAACGGCAGCACAGUAGGAGCUUGCUCUUACGGGUGGCGAGUGGCGGACGGGUGAGGAAUACAUCGGAAUCUACCUUUUGGUGGGGGAUAACGUAGGGAAACUUACGCUAAUACCGCAUACGCCCUUCGGGGGAAAGCCGGGACCAGCAAUGGCCUGGCGCUGAUAGAUGAGCCGAUGUCGGAUUAGCUAGUUGGUGAGGUAAUGGCUCACCAAGGCGACGAUCCGUAGCUGGUCUGAGAGGAUGAUCAGCCACACUGGAACUGAGACCACGGUCCAGACUCCGUAACGGGAGGCAGCCGAGGUGGGAAAUAGUUAGGAACAAGUGGGACGCGAAGCCUGACUCCAAGGCCAGUACCGGCGGUAGGUAGAAA